AACAUUAAUAAUAAUACUCGAAGAAAUAACAAUAUAGAAUAUGUUAGUUUAGGUUAUGUAGAAAAUAUUUUUUAAGAGAUUAAUUAAAAAGAUUAUGAAAAUGUUCUACGUGAUUGUUAGCCCGGAACGAAAACGGUCGAUAAGUAACGAAUUAUGUAAACCGACGAUAGUCAAUAAUAGUCGUGUGUUUAAUCUCAGUCGCAAAUCUGUUCGUGCCUAUAGUAUAAUGGUGAAACUUUCCGUCCAUAGAUAUACAGUACGUAUCGGUGAACGUGUGAGACAAUUAAAUAUAAUUACGUUAGUUCGGCGGUAGACAGGCGCUGCAAUUCCAAACGGUGUGAGAUAACGUAUACCCUUUGGAAUUGCAUUACGAGUGUUAACGAAAACUGUAGAAUUAAUGACAAUUUAGGAAGGAAAGUGAGUGAAUCCUGGCUACUGAUUCUCAUCCGGGGUAAUCGCCGUUAACCAAUACUACAGAGACUUCGCAGUAAUGGUAGAAAUCGUAGUAUUGAACACUAAGUGAGUCUGUACUACAGACCCACUUAGUGUUCGAUACUACGAAUCCUUAACACAGGAACGCCUGAAAGAAUUGUCUGUUUGAACCGUGAGUAGAAAUUGUAAUCAGACGGAAAUGCGAACAAUUACAGUAUAUCCAUUAUGUAAAGGUGUUCCGAUCAUUUUCGCUGACGAAAUCAAAGAGAAAUCGGAUCCAGCAACACCACCAGUUAUUAUGAAAUACCAGAAACAGCCAUUAUCUCGGCCGACUUAUCAACCGACCGGCAGUACGGAACCUACACCGCAAAUCGAGAGGAGGGAACCGCAGACUGAUCCACCUUAUCAGCCACCUCCAGCCUUCGCAACGAAGCCAAAAACGGAAGACCAAAGGCAACACCCGCGUACCGUCAACCACCUCCGUAUUACGUGUCCCCCUAAAUGUAACCAAUGAGCUUUUCCUACUGAAAUUGAUUGUCUUGCGAGUGCUUUCGGUCUUAAAAAAAAAUUUUUUUUUUUUUUAUCGUGAUGCCCUAUCGCUGUGUAUGUUGCACUAUGCAAAUUUGUGGCUCUCUUCCCUGAAAGUACAAACGUGUGCUUACACCCGCGGGGAUAAAGUAGACUUAAACUUUAUAUUCUGCCAUUUUUUUAUGUUAUCCGGCAUAUUUUGGGGGAAGGAAUGCUAGUGUUAACUUUAAAAA